ACAGCAGUCGCCGCGGUAAUACAGAGGGUGCAAGCGUUAAUCGGAUUUACUGGGCGUAAAGGGCGCGUAGGUGGUUAUGUAAGUGAGAUGUGAAAUCCCCGGGCUCAACCUGGGAACUGCAUCUUAUACUGCGUAGCUGGAGUGCAGUAGAGGGUAGUGGAAUUUCCGGUGUAGCGGUGAAAUGCGUAGAUAUCGGAAGGAACACCAGUGGCGAAGGCGGCUACCUGGACUGACACUGACACUGAGGCGCGAAAGCGUGGGGAGCAAACAGGAUUAGAUACCCCCGUAGUCCCUGUCUCUUAUAC
rnacentral:rRNA from 1 species